GCCCGCUACAGAAACUUAAAGGAAUUGACGGGAACCCGCACAAGCGGUGGAGUAUGUUGUUUAAUUCGAGGAUACACGAAGAACCUUACCAGGUCUUGACAUACCAUUGACCGUUCUAGAGAUAGAAUUUUCCCUUUCGGGGGACAAUGGAUACAGGUGGUGCAUGGUUGUCGUCAGCUCGUGCCGUGAGGUGUUGGGUUAAGUCCCGCAACGAGCGCAACCCUUAUCGAUAGUUGCUAAUAUUAAGUUAAGGACUCUAUUGAGACUGCCAGCGACAAGCUGGAGGAAGGUGGGGAUGACGUCAAAUCAUCAUGCCCUUUAUGACCUGGGCUACAAACGUACUACAAUGGCCAAAUACAAAGAGAUGCGAAGCCGCGAGGUGGAGCGAACCUCAUAAAAAUGGUCUCAGUUCGGAUUGGAGUCUGCAACUCGACUCCAUGAAGUUGGAAUCGCUAGUAAUCGCGGAUCAGCAUGCCGCGGUGAAUACGUUCCCGGGCCUU
rnacentral:rRNA from 1 species